rnacentral:lncRNA from 1 species
CUUCAAGGUUACUUCGCGGAGCUGGAACGCUGGCCGCGCAGGCCCUGAGGGCUCGCGGCCCCAGUGGCGCGGCCGCGAUGCGCUCCAUGGCAUCUGGAGGUACUCGGGUCUCCGGGCGUGCCAGGGACCAGAGUGUUGCCCUCCCAGGGUGGUCCCAGGGCGGCAAAGCGGCGCGGCUCGUGCAGCUUCUCGAGGUCCCAGUGGCCGCUUUACGGUCCCCAGUGCCUCAGGCUCUGCAGGCAUCUCCCUGUAAUUCUGGACCGCUGCUCCUGCCGCUCCCCGAACUCACUCCGCUGCGAAAGUAUCCUAAACGGAGGUGCCGGGUGACCUUGGGAGGGACCGGGGCUGCCACCGGGAUGGGGAGGGGUCCGGCCUCCCUUCAAACCUGCGCCCACCUCAAGCAGAGUGGGUUCUACAUGCUUUUAGACAAAUGUCGACAAAUUUGCCUCGGUGGUUGGAGAAAGAAAAGCUCAUAGGCCGGGCGCGGUGGCUCACAACUGUAAUCCCAGCACUUUGGGAGGCCGAGGCGGACAGAUCCCCUGAGGUCAGGAGCUCAAGACCAGCCUGGCCAACAUGGUAAAACCCCGUUUCUACUAAAAAUACAAAAAUUAGCCGGGCGUGGUGGCGCGCGCCUGUAGUCCCAGCUACUCGGGAGGCUGAGGCAGGAGAAUCGCUUAAACCCGGGAGGCGGAGGUUCCCGUGAGCCAACAUCGCGCCAUUGCACUCCAGCCUGGGCAACAAGAGCAAAACUCCGUCUCAAAAAAGAAAAAAAAAGCUCCCCCGAGUGCUGCCGCUUGUGUGGAUGGGUACUUGGUGGUUCUUAGGGGACCAUGGAUAUGAGUAGCCUUUAGGAGCUUGUGAGCCCGCUAAAACUUAUACAGAAGUUUCGGGGCACCAUUUUCCUUGAUCAUUUCUGUUUGUAGUUUUUCUAUCAGUCAUUUCAGUCAGCGUCAUAAUUCACGUUAUCUUCCUUUAGGUGGUGUUCCCACUGAUGAAGAGCAGGCGACUGGGUUGGAGAGGGAGAUCAUGCUGGCUGCAAAGAAGGGACUGGACCCAUACAAUGUACUGGCCCCAAAGGGAGCUUCAGGCACCAGGGAAGACCCUAAUUUAGUCCCCUCCAUCUCCAACAAGAGAAUAGUAGGCUGCAUCUGUGAAGAGGACAAUACCAGCGUCGUCUGGUUUUGGCUGCACAAAGGCGAGGCCCAGCGAUGCCCCCGCUGUGGAGCCCAUUACAAGCUGGUGCCCCAGCAGCUGGCACACUGAGCACCUGCACUAAAUUACUCAAAAUGUGCUGUAAAGUUUCUUCUUUCCAGUAAAGACUAGCCAUUGCAUUGGCUCCUUCUCCCAU